UGACACUGCGUUGUUGAAGCAAGUAAUGCCGUCCCAUGAUUAGGCUCCAUAAAUAUUUGUCAUACGAAUAGAUGAAUGAGUGAAUGAAUGAAUGAAUUCUAGCAAGAGGCAAGAGAAUUGAUGAUGCCAUGGGAUCACCUGAAUCAUCACUCUGAGUUGAUUGAAGCCCAGCAGCACCCGUUAUGGAAAUGGCUUAUCUUGUGGUUCUCCAGAGUUGUGGCUAGAACAUAUUUGGUUUCCUGGCAAAACCGUAUAGGAUUUUGAAAUUUGAUGGAGAAGGCUUGAAAGUUACCAAAAUUGAAAGGAGCAGUGGCGUGUGUAUUCUCCUUCUGGCCCAGGAGUCUGGGUUUCUCUGAGGCUCACACCAAUGUGAGGAAACUGAAGCCCAGGGAGCUAAAACUAAAAUCAUAUUUAUCGGUGCAGUUAAUGUGCAUCACAACCUAUGAGGUGGCUGUCAUCCCCAUGUGCUGAUGAAGGAACAGAGACACCGAAAAGUUAAGAAACUCACCCAAGUUUCCAGAGCCUGCUAGUAACACAACUGGGUUGGUGUUAUCCUGGCAUCUUUCCCAGAUCUGAGCCCCAUGCACCUUCAGAGCUCUGCUGGUUAACCUCUGCCCCUCUGUGACUGCAACAUGGGCCAUGUGGGCAAGGUCAAGGCCACCCUGAGGCAGCUGGUGAGGGAGGCCUGGAAGGUGGGCUUCUAGAGGGAAGAGGCCAUGUUAGAGGCCGGGCUCUAUUCUAGACUGCAGUUUGGGUAGACAGAGGAAAAACAUCAUGUUGGAUGUGACACAUACCUUCCCGGCAUCCUGACAGUUAGGCUUGAAAGAAACAUGUCAGGCAGCACCAAAUCCUGUAAUGACUUAGAGCAGAGUUAGAGGAACCUGGAAGGAGUGGCAGCCCCGAGGGCGCCUGGUAGCUGCUAAUUUGGGCUGGUGAUGACAGCGGAGAUGGCAGGGCUGCAGCUCGGAGCCGCUUGGCCGACAGAGGCUCUGGCUUCUGCUGGGGAGACAGGGCUGGGUGGGAGGAGAUUUUGAACAGAAAUCUGCUUCUAAGAGGACUUGGACCUGUUCUCUCUACCUUGCCCCACCCUCUAGGGUUGUGGGCAUAGGGAGGAUGGAUGUGGAUCUAAAGUCAGAUCCCUUUGAGGGUGGGGAUGAGGGAAUGGGCUGCCUGUGAGCUGGGGCCCAAGGGGGAUGGGAGUGGCACCAUUUUAUUCCUAUGGGAAAUGCCUUCUGCUCUGCAGUCGAUCACCUUGGCCAUUGAGAUGGACUGUAAAUGACUAUGUGGGUGGUCCUGCCUUGGCCCUUUAACCGUUUGGGGCCUCCAUUAGCCAUCUGUGACAUGGACCAGGUUCUGCUUUGCAGGUAUGCUCUGCAGCUCCCCAUCUUUCUCCAUGCCACAGUGAGGACAACACAGAACAACUUAUAGUGAUUUCCUCCUGCCCGUGUAUGGUAAGAACUUGAGGCAACGUACAGCAUGAGGCACACAGUAUUUGAAAAUUAAGGUGGAAGAUCAAAAGACAUUUGACUUCCAAAAGAUUAUGAUUUAUCAAUUCUAUGGUAAGGCCUGAGUGCCUGCAUUUUUACCAAGCUCCCCAGAUGAUUCUAUCACACCCUCAAAUUUGAGAACCACUGGUGCGAAGGAAGGAGGAAGGAAAUACACCCAAGAUCUGGGCCACUAUCGCUAUUGUCACUGACCACCAAGACGACAAAAGGGAAAUAAGAUAGAUUACAUCAUUUUCAUUAUCUGAAAUGAACAAGGGUAUCAGUUUUUCAGGGUAGACAGACAUCUUCAUGGUACUAAUUUCUGAAAGAAAGCCAUUUCCUGCUGUAGCCUGUUACAAAGGACACUAAACAACAUCAUGGAUAAUUGGGGGGCAGGGGAGAUGCUCUGCAUCCCGAAAGGGGGUCUGUGGUGCUGGUCACCCCAGCAGCUGUGGCCCGCCUUGGGGACACCAGGCCCACUCUGUAGCAGGACCUGCUCACCCUCUGAUGCCAUCCUUUUCUGCAAUCAACCAGUAAGAGGGGCAUCGCCAGGAGGAAGAGUGGGCUAGCACUGAGGAAAGAGCCAGGCGUGGGGUAUGAGACGUUGCCUGUGCGGUGAGUUUGAAGGUAUUGCUUGGACUGAGCGCCUAGGUGACCAACAAGGUCACAAGGCAUAAGGUACUUCCCUUCUGUGUGCCCCGAAGUCACAGCUUAGUGACAGGCAGGAGAGAGAGGUAAGAAGAAAACUGGCUAUAGCACCAUCGGAUGCUACAGAAGACCUAAAGCUCCUUUGUGGACAAAACAAUUAGGGCAAAUAUUUGCAACAUACAUGGCAAAGGGUUCAUGUCACAAAUAUGUAAAGAGCUUUUACAAACAGUAAGAAAAAGGCAAACAUCCCAGUGGAAAAAUAAGCCAGGCAUGUAUAAGGCAGUUCAGAUUACCAACAAACACGAGAAAAGAUGUUCAUUCUUACUUGUAAUUGACUACAAGUUAAUAAAUUUAAUUCAAGUUAAAACAAUGAGAUAUCAUCUUGCACGUAGGAAAAUGGUAAAGCUGAAAAACACAGUGAGCCAGUAUUUGGUGAAAUGUGUGUGGGGUGAGGAGCAGGGGAUUUUGAUAUUUAGUGCUGUUGGGAGUAUUACUGGGACAUUCUUUCCGGAAGAUAAUUUGUCAAGUAUCAAAAACCUUAAAAAUGUACAUA